rnacentral:rRNA from 1 species
CCUACGGGAGGCAGCAGUGGGGAAUCUUGCGCAAUGGGCGAAAGCCUGACGCAGCCAUGCCGCGUGAAUGAUGAAGGUCUUAGGAUUGUAAAAUUCUUUCACCGGGGACGAUAAUGACGGUACCCGGAGAAGAAGCCCCGGCUAACUUCGUGCCAGCAGCCGCGGUAAUACGAAGGGGGCUAGCGUUGCUCGGAAUUACUGGGCGUAAAGGGAGCGUAGGCGGAUAGUUUAGUCAGAGGUGAAAGCCCAGGGCUCAACCUUGGAAUUGCCUUUGAUACUGGCUAUCUUGAGUAUGGGAGAGGUUAGCGGAACUCCGAGUGUAGAGGUGAAAUUCGUAGAUAUUCGGAAGAACACCAGUGGCGAAGGCGGCUAACUGGCCCAUUACUGACGCUGAGGCUCGAAAGCGUGGGGAGCAAACAGGAUUAGAUACCCUGGUAGUCCACGCCGUAAACGAUGAGUGCUAGUUGUCGGCAUGCAUGCAUGUCGGUGACGCGAGCUACGACACUAAGACACUCCGCCGUCGGGGAGGUACGGUCGCGAAGAAUUAAAACUACAAUAGAAGUUAGACGGCGUGAGACGUGCCGAACGGACGACCGACGAGGGGAGGUAGG